AUGGAAGACACACAAACACCCCGAGAGGAAGAGUUUUCUCCAGGAUGCAGUUCAGUUCAUCAGAAGAGAUCCGAACCAGUGCCCAGCUGUGUGUUUAUGAAGAUUGAUGAGUCUAUAGAUCAUCCACAACAUUUCAGUUCAGUUCACCAGAAGAAAUCAGAACCAGAGUCCAGCUGUGUGUCUAUGAGGAGUGACGAAUCUUUGCAUCAUCCAGUUAAUUUUAAGAGUGAUGACACAAGGUUUAACCUCAAGUAUUGCAUUUUUUGUAAAAGAUAUGAUUAUAGAAAGAUAUUUUCAAUGAAUCAGAUAUAGAGCGGAGUGUUGAAUUAUUUAUUUAAACAGUAUUUAUUUUUUACAGUUGUGACCGUAAGUGAAUUUUUAAUGAAGUCACAUCUGUUAUUAAGGUAAUGAGAAAAAUGUCAUCAAUAUCAGUGAUUUAUUCUUGAUUCAAGGUCAAUCGUGCAACACAGAUCAGAAACAAAACCUGUCUGUAAGAAAUAUGACCAGUCUGUGAAUCAACCACAAGACAGCACGUAUCCUGGUGUGAGGUAAACUGUGGGAUGUUUUUAAUGCAAUGCAUCAUCACACAUUAUUCAAAUACAUAAUUAAUAACUGACACAUUUCAUAAGCCCUAUGAUAUGUACCGUGUCUCAUAACACAGAAAACAAAAAAGACAUCUUGCUUUGUACAUUUGCCUCUGUAACUCAUGUAAUAAUGUGGUAUUUUCAUUUUCCAGCCAUGAAGUCCUCAACGCGUUCAGAUCAAAUCUGCUGAAGAAGUUUGAGCGUCUGUAUGAGGCAACAGCGACGCAGAGAAACCCAACACUCCUGAAUGAGAUCUACACAGAGCUCUACAUCACAGAGAG
rnacentral:lncRNA from 12 species